CGGGUGAGUAAUGUCUGGGAAACUGCCUGAUGGAGGGAGAUAACUACUGGAAACGGUAGCUAAUACCGCAUAACGUCGCAAGACCAAAGAGGGGGACCUUCGGGCCUCUUGCCAUCGGAUGUGCCCAGAUGGGAUUAGCUAGUAGGUGGGGUAACGGCUCACCUAGGCGACGAUCCCUAGCUGGUCUGAGAGGAUGACCAGCCACACUGGAACUGAGACACGGUCCAG
rnacentral:rRNA from 1 species